AGUGAACGCUGGCGGUAGGGCUAACACAUGCAAGUCGAACGGCAGCACAGUAAGAGCUUGCUCUUACGGGCGGCGAGUGGCGUAAGGGUGAGGAAUACAUCGGAAUCUACUUUUUCGUGGGGGAUAAAGUAGGGAAACUUACGCUAAUAACGCAUACGACCUACGGGUGAACGCAGGGGAUCUUCGGACCUUGCGCGAUUGAAUGAGCCGAUGUCGGAUUAGCUAGUUUGCGGGGUAAAGGCGCACCAAGGCGACGAUACGUUACUGAUCGGAGAGGAUGAGGAGGUACACUGGAACUGUGCUACGGUACAGACUCCUACGGGACGCAGCAGUGGAGAAUAUUAGACAAGAGGCUCGAGCCUGAUCCAGCCAUACCGCGUCGGGUGAAAAGGGCUGCGGGUUGUAAAGGUCUUUUGUUGUUGAAAAAAAGCAGCAAGUUAUAACCCUACUUUGCUGACGGUACCCAAUGAAUAAGCACCGGCUAACUUCGUG
rnacentral:rRNA from 1 species